rnacentral:rRNA from 1 species
CUAAGAAUAUUCCGCAAUGGACGAAAGUCUGACGGAGCGACGCCGCGUGGAUGAAGAAGGCCGCAAGGUUGUAAAAUCCUUUUGCUGGGGAAGAAUAAGUCCAGGAGGGAAUGCCUGGAUGAUGACAUGAACCGGCGAAUAAGCCCCGGCCAACUACGUGCCAGCAGCCGCGGUAACAAGUAGGGGGCAAGCGUUGUUCGGAAUUACUGGGCGUAAAGGGCAUGUAGGCGGUUUAGUAAGCUUGGCGUGAAAGACCACAGCUUAACUGUGGGGUUGCGUUGAGAACUGCUGAACUUGAGUUACGGAGAGGGAGGUAGAAUUCCCGGUGUAGGGGUGGAAUCUGUAGAGAUCAGGAAGAAUACCGGUGGCGAAGGCGAGCUUCUGGCCGGUAACUGACGCUGAGGUGCGAAAGUGUGGGGAUCAAACA